UGGCGGCAGGCUUAACACAUGCAAGUCGAGCGUAGCAGAUCUAGCUUGCUAGAUGCUGACGAGCGGCGGACGGGUGAGUAACGCGUAGGAACCUGCCCAGUAGUGGGGGAUAGCCCGGGGAAACUCGGAGUUAAUACCGCAUACGCUCUACCGGAGGAAAAGGAGGGGGGCUUCGGCUCUCGCUAUUGGAUGGGCCUGCGUGAGAUUAGCUAGUUGGUGAGGUAAUGGCUCACCAAGGCGACGAUCUCUAGCUGGUCUGAGAGGAUGAUCAGCCACACUGGGACUGAGACACGGCCCAGACUCCUACGGGAGGCAGCAGUGGGUAAUAUUGCACAAUGGGCGCAAGCCUGAUGCAGCCAUGCCGCGUGUGUGAAGAAGGCUUUCGGGUUGUAAAGCACUUUCAGUGGGGAGGAAGGCCUCGUAGUUAAUAGCUGCGAGGAUUGACGUUACCCACAGAAGAAGCACCGGCUAACUCCGUG
rnacentral:rRNA from 1 species